CUUGACAUCCAGAGAACUUGGCAGAGAUGCCUUGGUGCCUUCGGGAACUCUGAGACAGGUGCUGCAUGGCUGUCGUCAGCUCGUGUUGUGAAAUGUUGGGUUAAGUCCGCAACGAGCGCAACCCCUAUCCUUUGUUGCCAGCGAUUCGGUCGGGAACUCAAAGGAGACUGCCGGUGAUAAACCGGAGGAAGGUGGGGAUGACGUCAAGUCAUCAUGGCCCUUACGAGUAGGGCUACACACGUGCUACAAUGGCGCAUACAAAGAGAAGCGACCUCGCGAGGGCAAGCGGACCUCAUAAAGUGCGUCGUAGUCCGGAUCGGAGUCUGCAACUCGACUCCGUGAAGUCGGAAUCGCUAGUAAUCGUAGAUCAGAAUGCUACGGUGAAUACGUUCCCGGGCCUUGUACACACCGCCCGUCACACCAUGGGAGUGGGUUGCAAAAGAAGUAGAUAGCUUAACCUUCGGGAGGGCGUUUACCACUUUGUGAUUCAUGACUGGGGUGAAGUCGUAACAAGGUAAGCGUAGCGAG
rnacentral:rRNA from 1 species